AUGAACGUUGCGCUCAUGCUUCAUUGGGUGUGGCGGAUCUUGCGGGGAGAUGGAGGCUUGCGGCUGCAGCUAAUUGAGUCCAAGUACUUGCAGGGCCAGCCCCUCUUGGCUUGCGCGUACUCGGCUGGAUCCCAGUUUUGGAAAUCGAUUCAGGACAUCAAAGUUGAGAUUAGCCUGGGCUUGCAGUUCUUGGUUGGCAAUGGGUCUGGGACCCAGUUCUGGUUGGACACCUGGCUUGAUAGCGAGCCUCUCCGCAUGCGGUUUCCGAGGCUCUUUGCGAUUUGUGACGACCCGGUUGUUCUUGUAUCUGCGGCUGCUUUGGAUGAGGGAUGGAAUAUUGCGUUUCACCCCUCAUUCGGACCAGCCGAGGUACAAGAAUGGAAAGAAUUGAGGGAAGUAGUCCCUCUUCAUAUGUCCCAGGAUCCUGACUUUGUUUCUUGGAGCCUCUCUCCUUAG
rnacentral:rRNA from 1 species